GUCUCUUCGGGGAUGAUUAAACCGGCGCACGGGUGAGUAACACGUGAGUGACCUGCCUUUUAGACUGGAACAACUUACCGAAAGGUGAGCUAAUGCCGGAUGAGUUAUAUAAGUGCAUGUUUAUAUAGGAAAAGUUGGGGAGACCUGACGCUGAAAGAUGGACUCGCGUCCCAUUAGCUAGUUGGUAGGGUAAUGGCCUACCAAGGCGACGAUGGGUAGCCGGCCUGAGAGGGUGGCCGGCCACACUGGGACUGAGACACGGCCCAGACUCCUACGGGAGGCAGCAGUGGGGAAUUUUGCGCAAUGCUCGUAAGAGUGACGCAGCGACGCCGCGUGAAUGACGAAGGCCUUCGGGUCGUAAAGUUCUUUCGACAGGGAAGAAAAUGCCUAUAAGUAACUGUGUAUGUAUUGACGGUACCUGUAUAAGCAGCCCCGGCUAACUCCGUGCCAGCAGCCGCGGUAAUACGGAGGGGGCGAGCGUUGUUCGGAGUGACUGGGCGUAAAGAGCACGUAGGCGGUGUUGUAAGUCAUUAGUCAAAGACUAGAGCUCAACUUUAGUAAGGCUAGUGAUACUAUAAUACUAGAGUAUCAGAGAGGAUUGCAGAAUUCCUGGUGUAGCGGUGAAAUGCGUAGAUAUCAGGAGGAAUACCGUUAGCGAAGGCGGCAAUCUGGCUGGAAACUGACGCUGAGGUGCGAAAGCGUGGGUAGCAAACAGGAUUAGAUACCCUGGUAGUCCACGCUGUAAACGAUGGAUGCUAGGUGUUGGGCUUUUAAGUUCAGUG
rnacentral:rRNA from 1 species